UGGAAAGCAAGUUAUUUACCUGUAUUGGGUUUAUGUGGAAAGGAUUUGGUAGUAGGGGGCUGCAGGGGUGGCCUCUGUUAGAAGAGUCCAGAAGCUGCCCCAUGUUAGAUAAGGGCCAGUUUCAGCCAACUCCAAAGGGACAUGCCACUGCCAAGCCAAUAAGCAAUACUGAGUGUGCCUCUGUGAGAACAAAUUUAAGAAAGCAGAAAAAACCUGCUAUACAACAGCAGCUGGGAAAGAGAGGAGUGAGAAACGGCCUUGCAGACACUAAGGUCAGUGCAGCAGGAGGGCAGGAGGUGCUCCAGGCAAGCAGCAGCAGUUCCCCUGCGGCCUGUGCAGAGGCCCCUGGUGGAGCAGGCUGUCCCCCUGCAGCCCAUGGGUCCCACACGGAGCAGAUCUCCACGCUGCAGCCUGUGGAGGAGCCCCCGGUGGAGCAGGCGGAUGUGGCCUGGAGGAGGCUGCGGCCCAUGGAGAGCCCCCGGGCCAGAGCUGCAGCCCGUGGAGGACCACACAGGAGCAGGGGGUCUUGGGGGAGCUGCCGCCCGUGGGGGACCCAGGUUGGAGCAGUUUGCUCCUGACGGAUGGACCCCGUGGUAUGGAGCCAUGUGGGAGCAGUUCUUGAAGAGCUGCUGCCCGUGGGGAAGGACGGCAUCCCAUGGGAGGGACCCCACGUGGAGCAGGGGCAGAGAGUGACCGUGAAGGAGCUGCGGAGGUGAAGCAUUAGGGACUGAUCCCAGCCCCCAUUCCCUGUUCCUCAACACUGCUCAGGGGGAGGACUUGGAGAGGGUGGAUGGGGAGAAGGUAUUUUUAGUUUCUCUCUGCUCUAGCUUGUUAGUAAUAGGUAAUAAAUUACAUUAAUCUCCCUAUGCUGAGUCUGUUCUGCCCGUGACAAUACUUGUUGAGAGAUUUCCCUGUCCUUAGCUCAACCCUUGAGACUUUUCCAUCAUAUUUUCUCCCUUUUCUUUGAGGAGAGGGAGUGAGAGAACAGUUGUUUGUGAGUUCAGCCACCCAGCAAGGUAAAGUAUCCGUAGUAUUUUUGUGGUUUUAUCUGCACACUUUUUGGGCUUAGCCUUUGAUAUUCAUCACAUUGCCAACCAUUCUCCAUGCACUUUCCCCCUCUGCAUCUGUUGAAAAUAAAAGCCAGGAAGCAUAAAUUAAGCCAGCAAAAGAAAAAAUCUGGAUUGCAGUCAUGUCCCAAAAGCCUGGGCACCCGACAGCAGCGAGUACUCUGCCAUCACAGCCAUCUCCCCACUCAAGCAGACAAGCUGCGGUCACUGCUGGCACAGAAUGUGUGUACCGAGCACCCAGCCUCUGAAGGCAUGUGGUGUGCUUUAUUUUUAGAUUUCUUUUUGAAAUGUGUGUUAUGCCUUUAUUGUGGGAACAUUUCAAAGCUCUUUAAUCUUUUGGCUUUAACGUGCAUAUUACAAAAACUCUAGACUGCAGAGGGAAGCUAAAAAAACGUAGAAGAAAGGUGCCUGAAUCACACUAUUUUACUGAACAAAAGAUCGGGGCAUGAUUAGCUGGAAAUUAUGUUUCCGGGUCAAUUGUUCUUUCACUGCUUCUCUACUUAUGCAUAGACUGCUUUUGUGUUCUGUGCACAGCUAGGGAUCCUGCGGACUGACACAGUGAAAAGAGACAAGCUGAGCAGCCAAGGAACUGGAAAACCAGUAGAGCUUCAGCCCCUUUUGCAACUGGCGACGGAGCAUGACUGAACCACAGGCAGGGACCUACCUGCAGGUACCCAGUGGUCCUGUUAAUGCCCCACCACGUGAGCUGGGGCAGUGGCAGUGGCUGAUGUCAGUCUGUCCCAGCACCCAGGGAGAAUGCAUAACUGCAGGCUAAGCAAGCUGUACUUGAAACAGCCAACAUCUCUAAACUAAAGCUUUGCUGGCGGUCUCUAUCUCCAUGUUUGCAGCUUCAGAAGUUGUCUCAUCAUUCCAAUAUUCCUGAAAGAACCAGCUGCUGGACUUCUAAGAAUGCUGAAGUGUUAUCUUUUACUUUAAAACCAUGCUACCAAACCAAACUACUUUUUUGAGAAGCCUCAACUUCCUUCUCUCUUCUGAGCUUUUGGAAGCAUUCUUUGGGAUCUGUUGGCUACAGCUGGCAAGCUGUCUCUAAGACAAGACUGACUCAAACUGUCCUUUUUAAAGUAGCUCCUUGUGGUAUUCGAUAUUAAAUAUCUGUAUGCAAAAUAAAAAAAGUUAUGGUGUAAAAUCUGA